rnacentral:rRNA from 1 species
CCUACGGGAGGCAGCAGUGGGGAAUUUUGGACAAUGGGCGCAAGCCUGAUCCAGCAAUGCCGCGUGCAGGAUGAAGGCCUUCGGGUUGUAAACUGCUUUUGUACGGAACGAAACGGUCUGCUCUAAUACAGUGGGCUAAUGACGGUACCGUAAGAAUAAGCACCGGCUAACUACGUGCCAGCAGCCGCGGUAAUACGUAGGGUGCGAGCGUUAAUCGGAAUUACUGGGCGUAAAGCGUGCGCAGGCGGUUAUAUAAGACAGAUGUGAAAUCCCCGGGCUCAACCUGGGACCUGCAUUUGUGACUGUAUAGCUAGAGUGCGGCAGAGGGGGAUGGAAUUCCGCGUGUAGCAGUGAAAUGCGUAGAUAUGCGGAGGAACACCGAUGGCGAAGGCAAUCCCCUGGGCCUGCACUGACGCUCAUGCACGAAAGCGUGGGGAGCAAACAGGAUUAGAUACCCUGGUAGUCCACGCCCUAAACGAUGUCAACUGGUUGUUGGGUCUUCACUGACUCAGUAACGAAGCUAACGCGUGAAGUUGACCGCCUGGGGAGUACGGCCGCAAGGUUGAAACUUAAAUGAAUUGACGG